rnacentral:rRNA from 1 species
GCAUAUCAAAAGCGGAGGAAAAGAAACCAACAGGGAUUGCCUCAGUAACGGCGAGUGAAGCGGCAAAAGCUCAAAUUUGAAACCCUCGGGAUUGUAAUUUGAAGAUUUGGCAUUGGAGAAAGCUAACCCAAGUUGCUUGGAAUAGUACGUCAUAGAGGGUGACAACCCCGUCUGGCUAACCGUUCUCCAUGUAUUGCCUUAUCAAAGAGUCGAGUUGUUUGGGAAUGCAGCUCAAAGUGGGUGGUAAACUCCAUCUAAAGCUAAAUACUGGUGAGAGACCGAUAGCGAACAAGUACUGUGAAGGAAAGGUGAAAAGAACUUUGAAAAGAGAGUGAAAUAGUAUGUGAAAUUGUUGAUAGGGAAGGAAAUGAGUGGAGAGUGGCCGAGGUUUCAGCCGCCCCUCGUGGGCGGUGUACUGCCGACGCCGAGUCAUCGAUAGCGAGACGAGGGUUACAAAUGGGAGCGCCUUUCGGGCGUUCUCCCCUAACCCUCCACACUGCCACCGACGACAUAAUCCACCCAUUUCACCCGUCUUGAAACACGG